GCGGCGUGCCUCAGACAUGCAAGUCGAACGCGAAAGUCCCCUUCGGGGGAUAAGUAGAGUGGCGCACGGGUGAGUAACACGUAGGUAAUCUACCUUCGGGUGGGAAUAACCCAGGGAAACUUGGGCUAACACCGCAUAAUGCAGCGGCACCACAUGGUGACAGUUGUUAAAGCGGGGGAUCUUAGGACCUCGCGCCUGAAGAGGAGCCUGCGGCGGAUUAGCUAGUUGGUGAGGUAACGGCUCACCAAGGUGACGAUCCGUAGCCGGCCUGAGAGGGCGGUCGGCCACACUGACACUGACAUACGGGUCAGACUCCUACGGGAGGCAGCAGUCGGGAAUUUUGGGCAAUGGGCGAAAGCCUGACCCAGCAACGCCGCGUGAAGGAUGAAAUCCCUCGGGAUGUAAACUUCGCAAGAAUGGGAAGAAUUAGUAGGGGUCAAUACCCCCUAUGAUGACGGUACCAUUUGUAAGCUCCGGCUAACUCCGUGCCAGCAGCCGCGGUAAUACGGGGGGAGCAAGCGUUGUUCGGAUUUACUGGGCGUAAAGGGCGCGUA
rnacentral:rRNA from 1 species